UAAUACAGAGGGUGCGAGCGUUAAUCGGAAUUACUGGGCGUAAAGGGUGCGUAGGUGGUUAGACAAGUCAGAUGUGAAAUCCCCGAGCUCAACUCGGGAACUGCGUUUGAUACUAUUUAGCUAGAGUGCAAUAGAGGGAAGUGGAAUUUCCGGUGUAGCGGUGAAAUGCGUAGAUAUCGGAAGGAACACCAGUGGCGAAGGCGGCUUCCUGGAUUGCAACUGACACUGAGGCACGAAAGCGUGGGUAGCGAACAGGAUUAGAUACCCUGGUAGUCCACGCUGUAAACGAUGAGAACUGGAUGUUAGGGGGUUAAACCCUUAGUAUCGAAGCUAACGCGUUAAGUUCUCCGCCUGGGGAGUACGGCCGCAAGGUUA
rnacentral:rRNA from 1 species